CUGUAUGUCUGUCUGUAUGUAUGUCUGUCUGUAUGUAUGUAUGUCUGUAUGUAUGCCUGCAUGUCAGUAUGUUUGUAUGUAUGUCAGUAUGUAUGUCUGUAUGUAUGUAUGUAUAUCUGUAUGUCAGUAUGUUUGUAUGUAUGUCAGUAUGUAUGUCUGUAUGUAUGUCUGUAUGUAUGUCUGUAUGUAUGUAUGUCAGUAUGUCUGUCUGUAUGUAUGUCUGCAUGUCAGUAUGUUUGUAUGUAUGUCAGUAUGUAUGUCUGUAUGUAUGUCUGUCUGUAUGUAUGUAUGUCUGUAUGUAUGCCUGCAUGUCAGUAUGUUUGUAUGUAU